rnacentral:misc_RNA from 1 species
GAUGAAGAACGCAGCGAAAUGCAAUAAGUAAUGUGAAUUGCAGAAUUCAGUGAAUCAUCGAAUCUUUGAACGCACAUUGCGCCCCCUGGUAUUCCGGGGGGCAUGCCUGUUCGAGCGUCAUUACAACCCUCAAGCUCUGCUUGGUAUUGGGCCCCGCCAGUUCUGGCGGGCCCUAAAGUCAGUGGCGGUGCCUUCCGGCUCCGAGCGUAGUAAUUCUUCUCGCUCUGGAGACCCGGUUGUGUGCUUGCCAACAACCCCCAAUUUUUUAAGGUUGACCUCGGAUCAGGUAGGGAUACCCGCUGAACUUAAGCAUAUCAAUAAGCGGAGGA